AUGAAACAACUCCAUCUGGAAGAUGCGGACUUCGAUGAAUUGGUGAUUGAAGAGGACGAUCCGGUGGUGAACGAAGGCGUACGCUGGCUAGCCCUGGCUAGGGUUCAUACGACAAAAACCUUUAGCCCGACGGCGUUCUACAAGGAUAUGCGUGCUGCUUGGAACACGGUGAAGCCCGUGAGGUUCAGACCCGUCGGACCAAACGUCUUCGUAGUGCAGGCAGAGUGCCUUGGCGAUUGGGAACGCAUGGUGGAUCAAGGGCGAUGGCUCUUCAGGAAUAUGGUGGUGCUCAUGGCACCGUAUGAUGGGUUCACGAGGGUGGAGGAGGUGCCGGUGCUGUUUAUGCCGAUUUGGCUCCAAAUUCACAAGCUACCCGAGGGCUUUUGCAAGAAGAAUAUAGUGGAAUCUUUGUUAAGGAACUCCGGUGAUAUACUGGAGAUGAGGCUGAACGGGAACACACGUGGCGAUUAUGUGAGGGUUAGGGUUCGGCAUGAUAUCCAAAAAACCCUAACAAAGUUUGUUAGCAUUGUCAGAGGAAAGGAGAGGCAAGUGUUCUUAGUUCGCUAUGAAAAGUUAGCUCGUUUCUGCAGCGUCUGUGGUCUUAUUGGGCACGACUUUAAGGAGUGUGGAUCCGGGGUUCAUGAGGAGAAGGAUAAGAAAUUUGGACCCUGGCUUUAUGCCCAUGGCCCGAACAAAAUAAGGCAGGAUGAGGCUGGUCAUAGCUUCGAUCAGAAGCAGUUUCAGCGUUCUUCGGCGAAGGAAAAGGAAGUGGCCAAGACUAUGGACCCAGAUUUAACUGACAAGGCGUCUAGUCCAUCGAAGCACGGUACCAGUAGUAUGCAGGUGGAUCCAGCGGCUUGGAAAAGGUUGGCCAUGGAGCUAGAAGUUGAGGAGGAACAAAACAAGGCCACCUUGGGUGCUUUGGUGCUGACUCAGGGUCUGGGGGAAGAUGGAGGAGACCAGGCUUCUCCAACUAACAGUUCAAACAGCAAGAGAGCAAAGGUUACUACACCAGAAGUGUCUGAAGAGAAAUCGGCGGCCUCCUUCGAGGAGGACCGCCGGGUCCAAUGA
rnacentral:rRNA from 1 species